rnacentral:tRNA from 1 species
GGGACCAUCGAUUAACAGGUAAAUCACUCGCCUUGCAUGCUAGAGAUAUCGGUUCAAGUCCGAUUGGUUCCA